rnacentral:misc_RNA from 1 species
GAUGAAGAACGCAGCGAAAUGCGAUAAAUAAUGUGAAUUGCAGAAUUCAGUGAAUCAUCGAAUCUUUGAACGCACCUUGCGCUCCUUGGUAUUCCGAGGAGCAUGCCUGUUUGAGUGUCAUUAAAUUCUCAACCUCACCAGUUUUCUGAACUGUUCUCCGAGGCUUGGAUGUGGGGGUUUGUGCAGGCUGCCUCAGCGCGGUCUGCUCCCCUGAAAUGCAUUAGCGAGUUCGAUACUGAGCUCCGUCUAUUGGUGUGAUAAUUAUCUACGUCGUGGAUCGGGGCUUAGACUCGAUUCUAACCGUCCGCAAGGACAAUACCUUGACAAUUUGACCUCAAAUCAGGUAGGACUACCCGCUGAACUUAAGCAUAUCAAUAAGCGGAGGA